CCUACGGGUGGCAGCAGUCGAGAAUCAUUCACAAUGGGGGAAACCCUGAUGGUGCGACGCCGCGUGAGGGAAUGAAGGUCUUGGGAUUGUAAACCCCUGUCAUGUGGGAGCAAAUGAAAAAGAUAGUACCACAAGAGGAAGAGACGGCUAACUCUGUGCCAGCAGCCGCGGUAAUACGGCGGUCGCAAGCGUUGUUCGGAAUGACUGGGCGUAAAGCGUGCGUAGGCUGUAGCGUAAGUCGGGUGUGAAAGGCGCGGGCUCAACCCGGGAACGGCACAUGAUACUGUGCAACUAGAGUAAUGGAGAGGUAAGCGGAAUUCUCGGUGUAGCAGUGAAAUGCGUAGAUAUCAGGAGGAACACUAGUGGCGAAGGCGGGUUCCUGGACAUUAACUGACGUUGAGGCACGAAGGCCAGGGGAGCGAAAGGGAUUAGAUACCCCUGUAGUC
rnacentral:rRNA from 1 species